rfam:Physcomitrella patens subsp. patens PHYPAscaffold_425 genomic scaffold, whole genome shotgun sequence.
UGGAGAUGAUGAUCGCAAUUGGUCCGUGUUUCUGAGAAUCCUUUUGGAUGAGUGGAGAAACACCAGCGAGUUUUGCCUACUGAUCCA